rnacentral:sRNA from 1 species
GUACUGAAAGAGGGUGGGGAGAUUCCAUUAUAGGGGCUGGAAAACCCCUUUACCAUACCACAUCCCUCAUCAGAAAUGCCUUAGUCAUAAGACCUUUCCUGACUGAUGUAUGUCUGUCCCUCAGGCAUCACCUGGAGCUCUCUUUGUUGGAAGAUCCAUGGAAGAGCAUGGAAUCUGCUGAUCUUGUUGUGGUUCUUGUGGAUGUCUCAGACAAGUGGACACGGAACCAGCUCAGCCCCCAGUUGCUCAGGUGCUUGACCAAGUUCUCCCAGAUCCCUAGUGUCCUGGUCAUGAACAAGGUAGAUUGUCUGAAGCAGAAGUCAGUUCUCCUGGAGCUCACGGCAGCCCUCACUGAAGGUGUGGUCAAUGGCAAAAAGCUCAAGAUGAGGCAGGCCUUCCACUCACACCCUGGCACCCAUUGCCCCAGCCCAGCAGUUAAGGACCCAAACACACAAUCUGUGGGAAAUCCUCAGAGGAUUGGCUGGCCCCACUUCAAGGAGAUCUUCAUGUUGUCAGCCCUAAGCCAGGAGGAUGUGAAAACACUAAAGCAAUACCUUCUGACACAGGCCCAGCCAGGGCCCUGGGAGUACCACAGUGCAGUCCUCACUAGCCAGACACCAGAAGAGAUCUGUGCCAACAUUAUCCGAGAGAAGCUCCUAGAACACCUGCCCCAGGAGGUGCCUUACAAUGUACAGCAG